UCGCCUACGGGAGGCAGCAGUGGGGAAUAUUGGGCAAUGGGCGCAAGCCUGACCCAGCAACGCCGCGUGAAGGAAGAAGGCUUUCGGGUUGUAAACUUCUUUUCUGAGGGACGAAGAAAGUGACGGUACCUCAGGAAUAAGCCACGGCUAACUACGUGCCAGCAGCCGCGGUAAUAUGUAGGUGGCAAGCGUUAUCCGGAUUUAUUGGGCGUAAAGGGCGUGUAGGCGGGAAUGCAAGUCAGAUGUGA
rnacentral:rRNA from 1 species